rnacentral:SRP_RNA from 10 species
GCCAGCUAGGUCGCACAUGCCUGUAGUCCCAGCUGCUAGGGAGGCUGAGGCAAGAGGAUUGCUUGAGCCCAGGAGUUCCAGGCUGCAGUGAGCUAUGCUGAUCAGGUGUCUGCACUAAGUUCCGCAUCAAUAUAGUGACAUCCUGGGAGCAGGCGACCACCAGGUUGCCUAAGGAGGGGUGAACUGGUCCAGGUCAGAAAUGGAGCGGGUCAAUUAUUUGGAAAGCCCUAAUUUGGAAGUCCUAUAUCCCAAAACUUCGGUACUCCUCCUUAGCUGAAGAAAUUCAGGCC